UUCCGGCAGAGUACCAAUUGGAGGGCAAGUCUGGUGCCAGCAGCCGCGGUAAUUCCAGCUCCAAUAGCGUAUAUUAAACUUGUUGCAGUUAAAAAGCUCGUAGUUGAAUUUCAGCGAUUCUGUCAUUAUACCAUGUGGUGUAUUGUCGGUUUCGCCUUUUGUAUUACUUUGAGAAAAUUAGAGUGUUUCAAGCAGACUUUUGUCUUGAAUAGUGUAGCAUGGAAUAAUAGAGUAGGACGGAUUUCCUAUUUUGUUGGUUUGCGGUGUCCGUAAUGGUUAAUAGGAACGGUUGGGGGCAUUCGUAUUUGACUGUCAGAGGUGAAAUUCUUAGAUUUGUCAAAGACGAACUAUUGCGAAAGCAUUUGCCAAGGACGUUUUCAUUAAUCAAGAACGAAAGUUAGGGGAUCGAA
rnacentral:rRNA from 1 species